GACGAACGCUGGCGGCGUGCCUAAUACAUGCAAGUCGAACGCAGUGGGGACGGGUGAGUAACACGUGGGUAACCUCCCAUCAGAGGGGAUAACACUUGGAAACAGGUGCUAAACCGAUACUGUCGGAUGGACCCGCGGUGCAUUAGCUAGUUGGUGAGGUAAGGGCUAACCAAGCCCACGAUGCAUAGACGACCUGAGAGGGUGAUCGGCCACACUGGAACUGAGACACGGCACAGACUCCUACGGGAGGCAGCAGUAGGGAAUCUUCGGCAAUGGGCGAAAGUCUGACGGAGCAACGCCGCGUGAGUGGAGAAGGUUUUCGGAUCGUAAAACUCUGUUGUUAGAGAAGCGGUAUCUAACCAGAAAGCCACGGCUAACUACGUGCCAGCAGCCGCGGUAAUUC
rnacentral:rRNA from 1 species